rnacentral:rRNA from 1 species
UAAAGCUACUCUCAGUUCGGAUUGUAGGCUGAAACUCGCCUACAUGAAGCUGGAGUUACUAGUAAUCGCAGAUCAGAAUGCUGCGGUGAAUGCGUUCCCGGGUCUUGUACACACCGCCCGUCACACCCCGGGAGUUGGAGACGCCCGAAGCCGAUUAUCUAACCUUUUGGAAGAAGGCGUCGAAGGUGGAAUCAAUAACUGGGGUGAAGUCGUAACAAGGUAGCCGUAUCGGAAGGUGCGGCUGGAUCACCUCCU